rnacentral:rRNA from 1 species
CGUAGGGUGCGAGCGUUAAUCGGAAUUACUGGGCGUAAAGCGUGCGCAGGCGGUUUUGUAAGACAGAUGUGAAAUCCCCGGGCUCAACCUGGGACCUGCAUUUGUGACUGCAAGGCUAGAGUACGGUAGAGGGGGAUGGAAUUCCGCGUGUAGCAGUGAAAUGCGUAGAUAUGCGGAGGAACACCGAUGGCGAAGGCAAUCCCCUGGACCUGUACUGACGCUCAUGCACGAAAGCGUGGGGAGCAAACAGGAUUAGAUACCCUGGUAGUCCACGCCCUAAACGAUGUCAAACUGGUUGUUGGGUCUUUACUGACUCAGUAACGAAGCUAACGCGUGAAGUUGACCGCCUGGGGAGUACGGCCGCAAGGUUG